rnacentral:rRNA from 1 species
AACGAACGCUGGCGGCAGGCCUAACACAUGCAAGUCGAGCGAAGCCUUCGGGCUUAGCGGCGGACGGGUGAGUAACGCGUGGGAACGUGCCCUUUGCUACGGAAUAGCCCCGGGAAACUGGGAGUAAUACCGUAUGUGCCCUUCGGGGGAAAGAUUUAUCGGCAAAGGAUCGGCCCGCGUUGGAUUAGGUAGUUGGUGGGGUAAUGGCCUACCAAGCCGACGAUCCAUAGCUGGUUUGAGAGGCUGAUCAGCCACACUGGGACUGAGACACGGCCCAGACUCCUACGGGAGGCAGCAGUGGCGAAUCUUAGACAAUGGGGGAAACCCUGAUCUAGCCAUGCCGCGUGAUCGAUGAAGGCCUUAGGGUUGUAAAGAUCUUUCAGUAGGGAAGAUAAUGACUGUACCCACAGAAGAAGCCCCGGCUAACUCCGUGCCAGCCGCCGCGGUAAGAC